rnacentral:rRNA from 1 species
UACGUAGGGUGCAAGCGUUGUCCGGAAUUAUUGGGCGUAAAGAGCUCGUAGGCGGUUUGUUGUGUCGGCUGUGAAAUCCCCGAGGCUCAACCUCGGGUCUGCAGUCGAUACGAGCAAACUAGAGUGUUGCAGGGGAGACUGGAAUUCCUGGUGUAGCGGUGAAAACUGCGCCAGAUAUCGGGAAGAACACCCGUGGCGAAGGCGGCACUCUGGGACGGUACUGACGCUGAGACGCGAAAGCGUGGGGAGCGAACAGG